UUGAACGCUGGCGGCAGGCCUAACACAUGCAAGUCGAGCGGAUGAAGGGAGCUUGCUCCUGGAUUCAGCGGCGGACGGGUGAGUAAUGCCUAGGAAUCUGCCUGGUAGUGGGGGAUAACGUCCGGAAACGGGCGCUAAUACCGCAUACGUCCUGAGGGAGAAAGUGGGGGAUCUUCGGACCUCACGCUAUCAGAUGAGCCUAGGUCGGAUUAGCUAGUUGGUGGGGUAAAGGCCUACCAAGGCGACGAUCCGUAACUGGUCUGAGAGGAUGAUCAGUCACACUGGAACUGAAACACGGUCCAGACUCCUACGGGAGGCAGCAGUGGGGAAUAUUGGACAAUGGGCGAAAGCCUGAUCCAGCCAUGCCGCGUGUGUGAAGAAGGUCUUCGGAUUGUAAAGCACUUUAAGUUGGGAGGAAGGGCAGUAAGUUAAUACCUUGCUGUUUUGACGUUACCAACAGAAUAAGCACCGGCUAACUUCGUG
rnacentral:rRNA from 1 species